rnacentral:lncRNA from 1 species
CCAAAACCGCCUCAUUAGGUGACAGUGAAUCAAUCAAGGCUCGGUCGAAACUCUCGAACGGAAAACCUCGACUCCGAGCUUGCGAAUUGAAUAGAACCGGUUCGAAACACAAUAAGCCCCCAAAAAUACGAGUCGAACAGAAAUCCAAAAAUUCACACGGACAACCGAAACAGAGAUUGCGAUGAGAAAACCAAGAUACCAUAUAAUUUCUGGCGGAACUUGGCUGGAAUCAAAUUCAGAAUGAACAGGAACAACAAAUUGGAAUCCGCUAUAAAAGCUGAAGUCCAACCCAAAUCAAAAACGAAGAACAAAUGUGUCCGAAACAAGAAGGUUAAGUGAAAAGGAACUUGACCUGUGUAGUCGGAGCUCCGACAAGUUCAGACUGCAUCCAGAAAAUGAUGAAAACAGAUCGAAUUUCAGCGACGGAUAGUGUUCCCGAUGAGAUCUCAACGGCUUCUAGUGUUCCUCGCCCAAUCCUCUUUUCAAACUACAUCUAUUUUUUUUCUUCUUAUCACUGUGUGCGUGUGCCUUCUUCUCUGUGUAAAUCCAUGUAAGUGAAGUGUGUUUAUGGAAAUUGAGGUGUGUUUUUGUGUCGAUAGGCUACUGUUUGAUGAAUCUUGUGUAUUCUCUCUGUUGGGAGCUCCAAAAAUAGAAAAGAUGGAGAUCCGUGGCUUCCUUUCUCUUUUUCUUCCUUUUCGAAAAGAAAAUCCCUCUGUAGCUCACUGUCUAUCUCUCGCCCCUUCUCUUCUCUCUCACGCUCAAAUUCCCCCAAACCCCUGUUAUUCUCCUCCUAUGCUACUGAUUCUUUGUUGCUCAAUUGUGUGCGCAUGUAUUCCGGUGAAGUUUUUUCCCAGUGAUGGUGUAUGAAUGUGCAGUCGAGUGUGUGCUAUCGUGAUUCGUGCGUUGUGUAGAAGAAAAGAAAAUGGAGUGUCUAUUACGUUAAGAAGACGGUGGCUGUGUAAUUCAGUGAAGGCGAGUGGAGUUCUGUGUGUCUUUUUUGGUUACUGUGAUAGUGCCAAAUUGUGAGACUGUGAGAGUAUGUGUGUGUUUUUCAUUGUGAG